UACGUAGGGGGCAAGCGUUGUCCGGAAUCAUUGGGCGUAAAGCGCACGUAGGCGGUUUGUUAUGUCGGAUGUGAAAGCCCGUGGCUUAACCGAGGAAGUGCAGCCGAAACUGGCGAGCUAGAGUACGAAAGAGGAUCGCGGAAUUCCCGGUGUAGAGGUGAAAUUCGCAGAUAUCGGGAGGAACACCGGUGGCGAAGGCGGCGAUCUGGGUCGAUACUGACGCUGAGGUGCGAAAGCGUGGGGAGCAAACAGG
rnacentral:rRNA from 1 species